rnacentral:rRNA from 1 species
AAUAAGCUAAAUAAGAGCGUAUGGGGAAUGCCUAGGCUCUCAGAGGCGAUGAAGGACGUGAUAAGCUGCGAAAAGUUGCGGGGAUUGGCACAUACAAAUUGAUCCGCAAAUAUCCGAAUGGGGCAACCCACUAUAUUGAAGAUAUAGUAUUCUGAAC